AUACUAUGGUUUCCCUUGAGCAUGAGUAAAUCUUUUGCUUUUUACUAAAGAUUUCUGUGGAGAGGAGCAACCGUGCUUCCUUGGUGAAAAAUAGAUUGAGUUCUUUUGAUUUGUAAAGGC